UAGGGAAUCUUCCGCAAUGGACGCAAGUCUGACGGAGCAACGCCGCGUGAGUGAAGAAGGAUUUCGGUUCGUAAAACUCUGUUGUUAGAGAAGAACAGCGCAUAGAGUAACUGUUAUGCGUGUGACGGUAUCUAACCAGAAAGCCACGGCUAACUACGUGCCAGCAGCCGCGGUAAUACGUAGGUGGCAAGCGUUGUCCGGAUUUAUUGGGCGUAAAGCGAGCGCAGGCGGUUAGAUAAGUCUGAAGUUAAAGGCAGUGGCUCAACCAUUGUAGGCUUUGGAAACUGUUUAACUUGAGUGCAGAAGGGGAGAGUGGAAUUCCAUGUGUAACGGUGAAAUGCGUAGAUAUAUGGAGGAACACCGGUGGCGAAAGCGGCUCUCUGGUCUGUAACUGACGCUGAGGCUCGAAAGCGUGGGGAGCGAACAGG
rnacentral:rRNA from 1 species